GCCAAGCAUAGUCGUUGAUGCCUGUAAUCCUAGCUGUCUUGGAGGCUGAGACUGAAAGGUCUCUUGAGCUAGGAGUUCUGAAAAGCGGUGGGCUACGCUGAUCAGGUGUCCGCACCAAGUCUGGCAUAAAUAUGGUGGAGUCUCUGGAAGUGAGAGGCCACCAGGUUGCCCAGGUCAGAAAUGGAGCAGGCCCAAGCUUCUGUGUCAGUCAGUAUUAUGUUUGGGCCUGUGACUAUCCUUGUAUUUUUAGCCUCAAUGAGAUGGGGAAACACAGGCUUU
rnacentral:SRP_RNA from 1 species